rnacentral:rRNA from 1 species
UGAGGAAUAUUGCACAAUGGGCGCAAGCCUGAUGCAGCGACGCCGCGUGUGGGAUGAAGGGGCUACGCCUCGUAAACCACUGUAGCCCGGGACGAAAAACGCCUUAGAGGCGUUAGACGGUACCGGGAAAGUAAGGGUCGGCUAACUACGUGCCAGCAGCCGCGGUAAUACGUAGGACCCAAGCGUUGUCCGGAUUUACUGGGUGUAAAGGGUGCGCAGGCGGAUGGGUAAGUCAGGGGUGAAAGUCUGCAGCUUAACUGUAGAAUUGCCAUUGAUACUGCUCAUCUUGAGGGUGGGAGAUGUUGAUGGAAUGCCAGGUGUAGCAGUGAAAUGCGUAGAUAGCUGGAAGAACACCAGUGGCGAAGGCGGUCAACUGGCCCAUAACUGACGCUCAUGCACGAAAGCGUGG